AUUGAACGCUGGCGGCAGGCCUAACACAUGCAAGUCGAACGAGUGGCGGACGGGUGUGUAAUGUCUGGGAAACUGCAUGAUGGAGGGGGAUAACUACUGGAAACGGUAGAUAAUACCGCAUACCACGGGUUGUGCCCAGAUGGGGUUAGCUAGUAGGUGGGGUAAAGGCUCACCUAGGCGACGAUCCCUAGCUGGUCUGAGAGGAUGACCAGCCACACUGUAACUGAGACACGGUCCAGACUCCUACGGGAGGCAGCAGUGGGGAAUAUUGCACAAUGGGCGCAAGCCUGAUGCAGCCAUGCAGCGUGUGUGAAGAAGGCCUUCGGGUUGUAAAGCACUUUCAGCGAGGAGGCGUUACUCGCAGAAGAAGCACCGGCUAACUCCGUGCCAGCCGCCGCGGUAAUAC
rnacentral:rRNA from 1 species